ACCAGAAUGGCCAAGUGGUUAAGGUGUUGGACUUAAGAUCCCAUGGACGUGCAUGGGUUCAAGCCCCACUUCUGGUA